rnacentral:rRNA from 1 species
UACGAAGGGUGCAAGCGUUACUCGGAAUUACUGGGCGUAAAGCGUGCGUAGGCGGUUUGUUAAGUCUGCCGUGAAAGCCCCGGGCUCAACCUGGGAAUUGCGGUGGAUACUGGCAGGCUAGAGUACGGUAGAGGAUGGUGGAAUUCCCGGUGUAGCAGUGAAAUGCGUAGAGAUCGGGAGGAACAUCUAUGGCGAAGGCAGCCAUCUGGACCAGUACUGACGCUGAGGCACGAAAGCGUGGGGAGCAAACAGGAUUAGAAACCCCAGUAGUCC